rnacentral:rRNA from 1 species
AUACGGAGGAUGCAAGCGUUGUCCGGAUUUAUUGGGUGUAAAGGGUGCGUAGGCGGCUUGGUAAGCGGGAUGUGAAAUCCCGGGGCUCAACGCAGGAAGUGCCUCCCGAACUGGUGGGCUUGAGUGGCGCAGCCGUGGGAGGAAUGCGUGGUGUAGCGGUGAAAUGCUUAGAGCUUACACAGAACACCGAUUGCGAAGGCACCUCACGGAGGGUUGAUUGACGCUGAGGCACGAAAGCGUGGGGAUCAAACAGGAUUAGAUACCCUGGUAGUCCACGCAGUAAACGAUGAUGGCUAACCGCUGGGUUUAUCAUUUCAGUGGCCAAGCGAAAGCGAUAAGCGAUCCACCUGGGGAGUACGACCGCAAGGUUGAAACUCAAAGGAAUUGACGGGG